rnacentral:rRNA from 1 species
UACGUAGGGGGCGAGCGUUGUCCGAAGUUACUGGGCGUAAAGCGCGCGUAGGCGGGUUGGCAAGUCUGCUGUGAAAGCCCGGAGCUUAACUCCGGAGGGUCGGUGGAUACUGCCAGUCUUGAAGAGGCUAGGGGGAGAUGGAAUUACCGGUGUAGCGGUGAAAUGCGUAGAGAUCAUGAGGAAGACCAGUGGCGAAGGCGGGUCUCUGGACAGUUCCUGACACUGAGGCACGAAGGCCAGGGGAGCAAACGGG